GAUGAACGCUAGCGGCAGGCCUAAUACAUGCAAGCUGAACGGCAAGUUGAAUAGCAAUAUUUGACCUAGAGUAGCGUAAGGGUGCGUAACACGUAUGCAAUCUGCCCGCAACAGGAGGAUAGCUUGAUGAAAGUUGAGAUAAGACUCCAUAAGAUCACAGGAGGGCAUCUGAUAGUGAUUAAACUACAAGGGGUUGCGGAUGAGCAUGCGCAUGAUUAGUUAGUUGGCGGGUAAC
rnacentral:rRNA from 1 species